GAGGAAUAUUGGUCAAUGGGCGCAAGCCUGAACCAGCCAUCCCGCGUGAAGGACGACGGUCCUAUGGAUUGUAAACUUCUUUUGUACGGGAAGCACGUGCGCUAUGUAUAGCGUAUUGACGGUACCGUACGAAUAAGCAUCGGCUAACUCCGUGCCAGCAGCCGCGGUAAUACGGAGGAUGCGAGCGUUAUCCGGAUUCAUUGGGUUUAAAGGGUGCGUAGGCGGCCCGGUAAGUCAGCGGUGAAAGUUUGCGGCUCAACCGUAAAAUUGCCGUUGAUACUGUCGGGCUUGAGUUCAGAUGAAGUGGGCGGAAUGAGUAGUGUAGCGGUGAAAUGCUUAGAUAUUACUCAGAACACCGAUUGCGAAGGCAGCCCACUAAACUGCGACUGACGCUGAUGCACGAAAGCGUGGGGAUCGAAC
rnacentral:rRNA from 1 species